CUAUUCCACUAGGGGAGCCAUGUUGGCUGAGACGGACAAGAGUCCGGACCCUUUGAACCUGAUCUGGAUUAUACCAGCGUAGGGAAGUGGGCGAAUUGUGAG
rnacentral:ncRNA from 1 species